UAUACUUUGAACAAAUAGAUUCAGUUGACUUAAAUACAAAAUUAAAGCAAUUUGGGCAAUGUUGGUUGGCAGGCGGGGUCAUCGGACACUUUUUUCAAACUAAUCCCCCAGUAGUUUCAGAGGAGAAGAUUUUUGUAAAAUUUAAUGGAUGACGACGACAACAGAUGGCGACAGAUGAUGGCCGCCAAGUGAUGAGAAAAGCUCACUUGGCCCAAUGGGCCAAGUGAGCUAAAAAAGGAAGAGUGUUGCACUUAUUGGUUCCCAGAUAUUUAAAAACUAAUAUUUAAACACUAAUAAGUACAUUUCAAUUUAUAGGAAACCUGCACAACAUACACAGUUUUUGAAAGAUAACAAGAUUUUGUCCAUCUCUCUACAAGAUGCAAACAAGAAAAACUCUUUCAAGUCUGGCAAGAGGUAAUCACAGGUUUCCAUGGGUUCUUUUUGAAUACCAAAAAAGAAGGAUAGCCGAUUUAAAAAGAAGCAAUACACACAAGCUUCAGCAUUUUGUGUCGUCUCCCAUGGAUAUGCAGAGUGUCACUAAUGUUCCAGGCAUUGGUCCUACUUAUGCUGGUAGACUAGCCCAUAAUGGUAUAACCCAUCCAAGCCAAAUGCAUGUGAUUUAUGUACAAUGCCAAAGAAACCAAAGAAAGUUUGUUAAUCGGCUUAAUCAACUAACUAGCGGACAUCAAAAUCAUUUGAUCCGCACGUACAAUGGUUUGGAUGAAUGGCACAAACAGAGAGUUUUCUGAUACAUGUACUUAAAAGUUUAUGGAACAUAUCAUGAUUUCAAUUGUUUUUACAUUUUCUAUAUUUUUUCCUAUUAUUUACAUAUUAAACUGAUAAUGUUAAAAAUCUUAUACUAAUAUUUUAUUUUGAAUAUUGAUUUUAUUAAAAUAAUGCAUGAUUGCAUUUAUAUUGUACUAAGGUUUUCAGACUUAUGUAGAAUUAAUGUUUGCUUAUUAAUGACAGAUACGUGUAUGCAUCAGUAUUUAAGAUUAGUUGAUUAAUUCAUUGGUGUAUAAUCCUACAUUCACUUUAAAAAGAUUGAGACAAUAUAACCUCAUCAUCAUGUUGUACAAUUUAUAAUCUAUUUUUAAGCAUAUGAUGCUGGACUAAGCAGGAGUCCAACUAGAAUGAACGCAGAAUGUAAAAUUGCUGUUUCUUUUAAGACAUUUUAAAAAAAUAAUCAGUUUUUGCAGGAUUUUUUUUUUUUUUUCAUGCAGUGGAUGUCAAUAACCAGAGGAAGAGUUUGUGUAUUACAAAAUUUAAACAGUAGUUUAUAAUUAAUCCGAAAAUAAUUUUGUUUUGCUUAAGAAUUUCCUUCUUAUACAUUUUUAAUAUAGUUUCCCAAAAUUUAACAAUUUUUUAAUUAAUUUUUUGUAAUUAAUAGAUAUAAGAAGAUGUGGUAUGAGUGCCAAUGAGACAACUCGAUAUCUCCAUCCAAGUCACAAUUUGUAAAGGUAAACCAUUAUAGGUCAAGGUACGGCCUUCAACACGGAGCCUUAGCUCACACCGAAACAGCAAGCUAUAAUAAAUAAAAGGGCCCCAAAAAUGACUAGUGUAAAACCAUUCAAACAGGAAAACCAACGGUCUAUUAUCUAAAUAAAAAACAAGAAACAAGAAACACUUAUGAACCACAUCAACAAACGUCAACUACUGAACAUCAGAUUCCAAAAUGUAUUAUUUUGAAUUUGAACUUUUGUUCAUUUUCUUUUUUUUUAAAUUAAGUUUAUUUUAUGAUUUAGUAGUUUUAAAUUUUAUUUUAUCUUAUAAUUAUAAAGAGGAAUUGUUUUACUUUGGACUAUAUAUUUAAUUUUAUUUGUUGUACAAUUAAUUAGGAUAUUUAUUUUAAUUAUUGGGUAUUGUUCAAAAAUGUAUUUGUUAUUUAUUUAUUAUCAUUCAAUUAAAUUGUUAUUGUUGAUUAAAUUAUGAAAACAA